CCUUGCUUUUGUUGGUACCUUCACCACUUUACUGAACAUUGUCUUAUGAAAAGAAUGCUGCCACAUUAGAAGAUAUUGUUUUAAUUCCUGCCUCCUUGUGAAUGUCUCUGAUCCUCAGUUUCCCCAUCUGUUAAAUAGGUAAAUAAUGCUUUUUGUAACCCUGUUUUACAGAGUUGUUGCAAGAACAGCACUUAAAAAAAAAGCUGUGUAGUGUUAUAUGAAGGUGAGCUAUUAUUAAUUCUCCCGCCCCUUCUUGAGUGUGGUUAUUUCUAGGUUUCCAGAUUAGAUGGGACUUGAACUCCGUCUACCAUAUUCCUUGCUACAGGGGCACCAGUUUUGGUGGUUUCUACCAGCUUUCCCUCUGACUCCUUACAUACACGUCCUCCUCUCAGGCUGUUCUCUCUCAAGGACAGGACAUACUCUGCCAAUAGCUGUGUCGGAUUGCAUAUAACACAUUUCCCAUCCUGGAAAUUGAAAGUAUUUACUAGUAGAAACUCUAUCUGUAUUGCUUUAAGCUUAUUUGCAUGCUUUUAAAUGAUUUUCAGUUGGUUGGGAUUGAAGACUCAUCUUCCUGCCUUGCUACCCACCCACCCAGAUUUUUAGCCUUAUGCGCCCCUCCCCACACCCUUGUCUUUCCAUGGGACACCUUCGCAAGACCAGACUUUUGGAUGUGGUUUUCUUAGGUGGUGUGACACUUAAAAAAUGUGACACUUCAUUCUUCUACCAUAAUAUCUGAAAUCCUGCUAUUGGAGCUUCACUCCUUUGGCUUAAGUUAUUGUAUGCUAAAAUAUAAGCACUUGGAAUCAUUUUUAUGAGAGCAGAUUCUGGUAAGAGGGGAGAGUUUUAAAGCAGGGGGGAGGCACAGAGUCCUUGUGCUUGCCUGUAAUCCCUGCGACCAGGGAGGCUGAGGCUGUUGGAUCACUUGACCUCAGGAGUUCUGAUCUGCCAUAGGCUAGGACCAAUUUGGUGUGGACACCAAAUCUGACGUCAAUAUAGUGAGACUCCAGGAGGGGAUAGGGUAGGAGGGGUGGGACUAGGUGAAAGGAGAACCAGGUUGACCAAGAGAAAGACAGAAAGAGAGAGAGAGAGACAGACAGACAGACAGACAGACAGAGACAGACAGAGACAGACAGAGACAGAGACACAGAGAGAGAGACAGACAGACAGAGAGAGAGAGAGAGAGAGAGAGUGAGAGAGCGCUUAGUGAAGGCAGUUAUAUUUGGAGGGGAAUGAGUGUUGUUUGGCCCAGGGCUGAAGGACAGAGGGACAAUGGGUACAAGACCUCAGUUGUAGCCAUUUCUUUCUGGGAAAGGGGAAAGUUUCAGCCAAAGUAUCAGGCAUGUAGCUGAGCCUCAGGGCAAGUCAUCUAUCUCAUCACUAACUUGUCCUAAGUGAUUGAGCUGCCCAAUCUUGGCAUUGUCUGCACCUCAAGCCUAUCAAAGGAGUUUAGUGACUUUAGCGGUCACUUUCCCUAUGGAACACGAUCCUGAUCAAAGUGACUGGCUCCUUGGAGGAACAGGAAACUCACAGAAGUAAAAGGAAAACCAGAAUACUCUGAGAUGAUCAUCACUAUAUCAGCUGACUAUGAUGGAAUUCAUUCCCCUUUGUCAUUUUCAUUUUUUAAUGAAAAGAUGAUGACAAUACCAAAGUCUAGUUGCUCCAUAUUCUUUGUCUGACAGUGAUAACUGCUGGAAGGGGAAGUCAAAGGGUGCACAGGAUCUGGUUUACCUACUUCUAAGUUCUUGCCUAGGGUUAGUCAAAUCUAUUUUUCUUUCUUCCUAUCCUAGGAUUUUUUAAAAGUUUAAUAUUUAUUCAAUUUUAAACCCCUACCUGCUAUCCUAGAAUAGUUGAUAUUGGUUCCAAGGUAGAAGAGUGAUAAGGGCUAGUUAAUGGGGGUCAAGUGACUUGCCCAGGGUCACACAGCUAGGAAAUGUCUGAGGCAAGAUUUGAACCCAGGACCUCCUGUCACUGGACCUGGCUCUCUAUCCACUAAGCCACCCAGCUGCCCCACUGUCUAGGUUUUUGCCCCCACCUAUAGGGUCAGGGCAUCCCCUCCUUCAAGUUUUGCCAUUUCUUCAGGGUGACUCCUCUGAUCACAAGAUUUAGAGCUGAAGGAAUCUGACAAAUAACUUGAAUCUAACCAUCUCAUUUAUUGAAACAUUUUUUAAAAUUCUCUCUCUCUGAUUAUAGUAGACACAAUUUUUCUGAUCAUUUUUGGGCAUUUUAUGAUCCAUGCUCUCUUCCUUCCUACCCCCUCCACCCCCAACAAGUAAUAUGAUAUACAUAUCAGGCAAUAUAUGACACAGUAUAGAUUUCCAUGUUCAUCAUGUUGUGAAAGGAGACACACAUCACUUACCCCAGAGAAAAAUUCAUGGAGGAAAUACAGUGAAGGAUGGCGUGCUUCAGUUUGCAUUGCAAGUCCACCAGUUCCUUCUGUGGUAAUAGAUAGCCUUUUCUGGCCUGAGGCUCUUAGGGUUGUCUUGGAUCCAUGUAUUGCUGAUGAUAGCUAAGUUAUUCACAACUGGCUAUUGGACUUUAUUGCUGUUACUGUGUAUACUUUUCUCCUGGUUCUGCUCCCUUGCCUGUGUAUCACAAGUCUUUCUAGAUUUUCUUAAUGAUCAUCUUGUUUGUAAUUUCUCAAGGCACAGCAGUGUUCUACUACAAUCAUAUACCACAAGUUGUUUAACCAUCCCCCAAGUGAUGGGCAUCCCUUCACUUUCUAAUUCUUUGCCACCGCCAAAAGGACCGCUCUAAAUAUCUUUGUAAGUCCUUCUCCCCGAUCUUUGGCUUCUUUGGAGUACUGACCUAGUAGUGGUAUUUCUGGGUCAAAGGUCCAAUUUUAUGGGCCUUUGGGUCUGGUUCCAAAAUGUUCUCCAGAACCGUUGGAUCACUUUCCAGCUUCACUCAUAGCUUCUUAUGCCCCACUUUUCCCACCUCCCCGCCAACAGUUUUCUUUUUCUUUUUUUUAAAUCAUGUUAGCCAAUCUGAUAGCACGAGGUGGCAUCUCAGAGGGUUUUAAUUUCCAUUUCUCUAGUUAAUAAUGAUUUGAAGCAUUUUUUCAUAUGACUAAAGAUAGCUUUAAUUUCUUCAUCUGAGAACUGCCUGUUCAUAUACUUUGACCAUUUGUCAAUUGGAGAACAUUUUGUAUUCUUAUAAAUUUGACUCAGUUCUUCAUAUAUUUAGGAAUGAGGCGCUUGUCAAAGAUGCUUGCUAUAAAUGACCCUCUCAAUUUAUAGAUGAGAAAACUAAGUUCCAGAUAAGGGAGGUGCCCAAAGUCAUAUAGCAAAGUCUUCAACCCCAAAUCCAGUUCUCUCUGUCUCUCUUUUUCAAUCAUUACCUUCUCUCCUGAAAUCAUUGCUGAGUAUUGGCUCCAAGGCAGAAAGAGUGGUAAGGGCUAGGCAAUUGGGGCCACAUGACUUGCCUAUGGUCACACAGCUAGGAAGUGUCUGAGGUCAGAUUUGAACCCAGGACUUCUCAUUUCUAGGUCUGGCUCUCUAUCCGCAGAGCUACCCAGCUGCCCUUUCCAGUGUUCUUCCUACUAUAAAACCCAGCCUCUUAGUUGCUUUUCAGCUCUUUCACUUAGGAAGCCAGCAUCCAGGAGUAUUGGCUCUUCAUACCAUCCAAGAUUACCCUGGACCUCUCAAGUGCUGGGCUGGAAUCACUUCUGUGUCCAUACUGAUCUUGUCACUGCUACGAAACCGCCAUGUUUUUAUUGCUACAAGUGAAUGAGGAUGAUUUUCUGGAUGACCUGUGUUAGGAAGGAUAAAAAUGAAGAUGUAAGGGGUCUUCCUUCUCCCAGGGAUCCUGCAACUCGACUGCCUUUUCUCGCUUGAAUCUUUUCCCUGAAAGAAAUACACAGGUCCAGAGGUGAUGGGGAUAUAAAGACUAAAACCAAGCCAUUGCUACCCUCAAGGAACUUCCAUUUGCUCAGGGAGGAGGAAGUUGCCUCAUGUAUGCUACUCCUGUCUCCCUCCCCUGCACCAUAGAAGGCAUCAUUGGGGAAAACAUAUUGAUUAAUGUCUUUCGUGUUUCUACUUUUCAGUUUUAUUCUUUGGAGAUGAAGAAACUGAAACUGAGAGAGGAGAAAUGACUUACUUAGAGUCACAUCACUGAGAGCUGGCUGUUGGACAUUGAUGGAUGUGAUGAGAUGGAAGUUUUCAGGUAGACUUUUCAGUUUUGAAAGGCAUGGGGCAGCUGGAGAAAAUACAUGGAAUCAGGAGAUGGAGUGUCUUUGAGGAACAACAAGGAGGCCAUCACCAUAAUGCAGAGUAUGCAUGGAGGAUUGUGUGGAACUAGGUGGCUCAGUGGGUAGAGUGCUGGACCCAAAGUCAGGAAAAUCAAUCUUCCUGGGUUCAAAUCUGACUUCAGAUGCUUCCUUGCUAUGUGAUCUUCUAGGCAAGUUCCUCAACCCUGUUGGUCUCAGUUUUCUCAUUUGUAAAAUGAGCUGGAGAAGGAAAUGCAGACCACUUCAGUAUUUUUGCCAAAGAAAACCCCAAAUAGGGUCACAAAGAGUCAUGGCUGAAAAACAAGCAAACAACAUAUAGGGAGCAUAGGAUGUAAGAUGGGAAAGAUGGAGAUCAUAAAAGGCUUUGAAUGCCAAACAGGAUUUUAUAUUUGACUUUAGAAGUGAUAGUGAGAUACCGGAGUUUAUUGGUCAGAUUACUUUGAUAGCUGAGUGAAGAGACUUAUGGCAGGCAGAACAAUUAGCAGGCUAUUUCAGUAGUCUAGGAAUGAAGUGAUGAGACUCUGUACCAGGGUGGUGGCAAGUAUUAGACAAAGGGACAGAUUACAGAGAUGUUGUGAAGGUAAAAUCAAUCGGGUCUUAGCAACAAAUUGGGUAUGGUGAAGGAAAGAGAGAAGAGGCAAGGUUGUGAGCAUGGGUGACUAGUAGGAGGGCGCUACUCUUAAAAUAAAAAAUCAAAAGUAGGAAUAAGGAAGAGUUUAGGGGGAUAGAUAAUGGGUUCAGUUUUGGACAGGCUGAAUUUCAGAUAUUUACAGGACAUCUUAUUCUACUAUUUAAUUCAAGAUGUCCAAUAGACUGUCAGAGAUGUGAGACUGGGGGUCAGCAGAGAGGUUAAGGCUGGCUAAGUAGAUUUGAGCAUCAUCAGUCUAGAGAUGAUAAUUGAAUCCAUGGGAAAUGAUGAGAUCACUAAGUGAAAUAGUAUAGAAAGAGAAGAGAAGAGGGCCCACGUUUUGAUGAGGAUCUAUGAACAGUAUCCUACAUAAUUGUACCAGUCAUUGUAAAUUAAGUUACUGAAUCUUGUUUAAACCAUUUUGUUAAUGUGCUCUGUGAUUCUAUUUUUAGCAUUUUUUUGAGUAAGAAUGAACUAACUGUCCCAUACUCAAUUUAUAUUGUAUAUAAUAUACCUCUUUUUCUUUUUUGGUGGUGCAGGGAACUCUAGACGAGCCAAAAAGUGACAGGGUCUUUGGGAUGCUUGGGUGGGGAUUUAGUGAACCAAUGAAUGAAUGUGACAAUAGGGACUCCAGUACUCUUAAUUAACAUCAGGUUCCCCUAGCAAUGAAUUUUACACAAAUUGCAAUGUCUGGGUACAGAACAUGGAGAAGCAUGGAUACCCUAUCUCCUGUACUGUUAGUAGUAGUAUCUAUACUAGAGUAAUAGAAAAUAAAACUGGACAAAUAUACAGGUUCUACACUGCUGAAUUUCUUCAAUGAUUGACCAAGAAUUUUGUAAUUUCCUUAUAUGCAAGAAGGAAGAAAUCCUCCAAAAAACUUUUAGGAGCUUCCAAAAGUUUGACCAGAAUGAUAACAUGAGGAGUCAAAGGUAGUACCUAUGUAUAAUAUGGUAGACAGGAUGAAUUAUAGUACCAUUUCUAGAAAUAGCCAAGUCAAAAGGAGGAAUAGGCAUUUAAGACAAAAUCAUAUACUUGGCUUUGGAUGCAUGAAAAAAUCUAAAUAGUGGAAACCAGGGAGAAAUACAUUAUGAGCAGCAGUCCUGAUCAGCCAGAGAGAGAGGAGACGAGGCUAGAAAAAUCUUCUCUGAGCUGAUUUCAAUGAGUUAGUGAAAUGCCAUGGGCUAUUCUGGUCCAUGGAAUUUUGAUGAGUGGAAACCCUUUUUGUUUUCAUCAUAAUUGUUGAAAAUCCUGCAAUGAACUCAUUCUGUUCUUGCUACGUAAGAAAUUAUACAGUAAGAAAUUUGGAGAAAUUUGGGAAGACUUAAAUGCACAGAUGCAGAAUAAGUCCAGAAAAGCAAUGUAUCCACAAAAUAGAGAUGAUAAUUGAAUUCAUGGGAGCUGAUGAGAUCACCAAGUGAAAUAGGAUAGAGGGAGAAGAGAAAAUGGCCCACGUUUGGAUAAGGAUCUAUGAUCUAUGAUCAGUACACAAUUAUACUAGUCAUUGUAUUUGAAGUUACUGAAUCCUGUUUAAUUCAUUUUGUUAAUGUGCUCUGUGAAUCUGUAAUACUAAACAGAAUUAAUAAUAAAAUAAUAACAAUUCAUGAUAUGAAAAUAAAAGGAAAUAGCUUUCAAAGAUGUUAGAAUUGUGGCCAAUGUAUUGACCAGUCUAGACUUCAGAGCACUGGUGGUAAAGUAUGUCUCUCUCCUUUUGGAGAGAGGUGAUAGACCAUGGGUGUGGUAUAGAAUAUAUCUUGCCAGAUAUAAUCCAUUGGGUUGACGUGUUUUGUUCAAAUACAUACUCCUUUCUUCCAAAGGAGGAAUGGGGGAGGAGAGGCAGAGAGAGAUCAUGCAAAAACAGAGUCAGUUAGAUAUUUGAAAAAGUGUAUUUGUUGGGGGACAGCUACAUGGCUCAGUGAAUGGAGAGCCAGGUCUAGAGAUGGGAAGUCCUGGAUUCAAAUCUGUAUUCAGGCCCUUCCUAGCUGUGUGACCCUGGAAAAGUCACUUAACCCCCAUUGCCUAGCCCUUACAGCUUUUGAUUCUAAGAUGGAAGGUAAAGGUUUAAAAAGAAGUGUAUGUGUUGACAUUUUUUACAAACCUAAAGAAAAAUGUAAUCAUCUCUUUUCUUAAAUGAGCAAAUGUGGUCUACUAAACACCAUGGAAUCUUGAAUGACUGGGUGUCUCUUCAGGGUCCAGGGUGUGAUGAUUUGUACAGAUAUUUUGUGUGUAGCUAGAGAAAGUGUAGAAGAAUGAGCCUCCCUAUGUAAUAACCCUAAAACACGUUCUGGAUGGUGUGUGUGUGCACGUGCGUGUGCACGUACACAUACCCAAUUCUAUCAAUUUUAUUUUCUGAUGCUUUACCUGUUCCACCUAACAACGUAUAGGGGAAAAUUCUGGAGGAUUUCCUGAAGAAACAUGGCAAAGGGGAAAGAACUCCAACCUUUGUUUUAGGAGCUCUGGGCUCUAAUCUUGGGUCUGUCCUUCACUUUCCAUCGCACUUUGGGCAAGCUGCUUUGGCUCUUGGUUUCUGAAGUGAUUUCUGCUGCCCCUUCUAGCCUGGAAAAAGAGUUAGCUCAUCCACGAAGGUUGACUCCGAUAGCUAGAGAGGGGGCACCUCUCUCCCAUCUGCCCCGCUGCCCUUCUCUAGGCAGAACUUCAGCAUCUUGCUUCCAUCCUCCAAGGGCGGCCACCCUCUUCUUGCAAUCACCCACACUUACAAGGCUUCCGAACUUGGAAUGGUCUUUGUUCCCCGGUAAAGGACAGAGAGGAUUACCAUCUGAACCCAUACAGGGAACUCCUAGGGACUGUGGAGUCCUCAGACGAUUAGCUUUGCCCCGGAACGUCAGCUAGGUGGGGCAAUCAAUAGAGAUCUGGACCUCGAGUCAGAAAGAUCCUUAUUAGCUACAUGAGCCAGGGCAAGUCACGGAAUGCUGCCUGCCUCAGUUUCUCAACUGUACAAUGUAGAUAAUAAUCACACCUAUGUCACGGGGGAGUGAUGUGGAUCAAAUGAGACACUAUGUGUAAAAGCACUUUAGUAGAGUACCUGGCGCAUAGUAAGGGCUUAAUAAACCAUUAUUCCCUUUUCCUGGGUGGAGUGCCAUCCAGGAGGAAGGCCAAGUUCCUUCCUUCAUAUCCUUCUACUGCCUUGGAGUGCUGGCUGAAAGCGCUGCCAUUUUUUUACAUGAUCUGGCGCCAGAGUGUAUUUGCCCUCUCAAAUCCUUUUUUGUUACACACUGGAGCUCACAGCUCUCUCCGAAAAGGGGCUCUUUAGGUGGUUCUGGGAGCGUGUCUUCAUUAGAUCGCUCCACGGUGACUUAUGGUGAGCCUGCCCUUUUCCUAACCCAGCGUGCCUGGGUGGUAUGCCUCUUGCUUGUAUCAGCACUUGUAUUGAAGCUUUUGAGGUUUGGGGAAGCUGCCUCCAUCCCUUUCAUCUCUUUUCUGAUUUCUUUUCAUCUGUCUUCCUUUGGGGCAGCUCAUCUGGGUUAUGCAA